rnacentral:misc_RNA from 1 species
GAUGAAGAACGUAGCGAAAUGCGAUACUUGGUGUGAAUUGCAGAAUCCCGUGAACCAUCGAGUCUUUGAACGCAAGUUGCGCCUCAAGCCAUUAGGUUGAGGGCACGUCUGCCUGGGCGUCACAUAUCGUUGCCUGAUGCCAGUUUCCUCGUGAUGGGUGACUGUGCAGGGCGAAUGAUGGCUUCCCGUGAGCAUUGUUGCCUCAUGGUUGGUUGAAAAUUGAGUCCUUGGUAGGGAGCGCCGUGAUAGAUGGUGGUUGAGUGACGAACGAGACCCAAUCAUGUGAGACCCCUACCGAAUUUGGCCUUCAUGACCCACAUGCGUCUUUGGAACGCUCAUGACGAGACCUCAGGUCAGGCGGGGCUACCCGCUGAGUUUAAGCAUAUCAAUAAGGGAGGA